rnacentral:rRNA from 1 species
UACAGAGGGUGCGAGCGUUAAUCGGAAUUACUGGGCGUAAAGAGCUCGUAGGCGGUUUGUCGCGUCUGCCGUGAAAGUCCGGGGCUCAACUCCGGAUCUGCGGUGGGUACGGGCAGACUAGAGUGAUGUAGGGGAGACUGGAAUUCCUGGUGUAGCGGUGAAAUGCGCAGAUAUCAGGAGGAACACCGAUGGCGAAGGCAGGUCUCUGGGCAUUAACUGACGCUGAGGAGCGAAAGCAUGGGGAGCGAACAGG